rnacentral:rRNA from 1 species
GAGGUGUGGGUAGCGGAGAAAUUCCAAACGAACUUGGAGAUAGCUGGUUCUCUCCGAAAUAGCUUUAGGGGUAGCCUCGGAAGUGAGAAUGAUGGAGGUAGAGCACUGUUUGGACUAGGGGCCGAUCUCGGGUUACCGAAUUCAGAUAAACUCCGAAUGCGAUUCUUUUAUAUCCGGGAGGCAGAGUGCGAGUGAUAAGAUCCGUAGUCGAAAGGGAAACAGCCCAGACC